rnacentral:rRNA from 1 species
GACGAACCGUCCAAACGUUGUUCGGAAUCACUGGGCGUAAAGGGUGCGUAGGCGGGUUUUUAAGUCAGAGGUGAAAUCCUGGAGCUCAACUCCAGAACUGCCUUUGAUACUGAAAGUCUUGAGUAUGGGAGAGGUGAGUGGAACUGCGAGUGUAGAGGUGAAAUUCGUAGAUAUUGGGAAGAACACCGGUGGCGAAGGCGGCUCUCUGGACCGAGACUGACGCUGAGGCGCGAAAGCGUGGGGAGCAAACAGG